UUCGCUACAAAAAUUUCAUUUCGAGAUCAAUUAACUUGGUACGUAGUAGGUAGAAUAAUAUUACUUUAAUUUCUAAUUUUCUAUAUAAGAGUGCUGAUUAACAAUUUAGAAUUCACUGACAAUCGAUGAUAACAAUAUGAAACUAAUUAAUUAUCUAGAGUAACACGUAACAAACAAAAGGUUUGACAAACGACCACAAACUAAUGAAACGACAUCGCACAUACACAUACACAUGCACACUGAAAACUGCAACACAUUAGCUGAAGUAGCAAAGAGAUCACAACUUCAAGGGUACGGCGAAGCGCCGGUACCUCCACCAGCUCCACCGCCGACUCCGACACCAUCUCCGCCACCAACUCCGCCGAGUCCGCCCAAAUUGCCAAUUCCGCCUCCAAGGCCUCCAAGGCCACCAGUCGGCAGUGUUCCAAUGCCACCGGCAAUGCCGCCGUUGAGUCCGCCGCCGGUGGCACCUAGGCCGCCGCCAAUGCCUCCGAAGGGGAGGCCGCUUCCGCCGAUGCCGGAGUAGCCGCCGAGGCCUCCGAAAGUGGCAAAGUUCUUCUGGUCUGCGUAACCGUCGGCAGGCAAAACCCUAGCUGCAAUCUGAUGAGCUGCAACAAGAAGAGCAACCACAAACAUCAACCACAACUUCGCCAUUAAUUAAAUUUUUAUUCACCUUGUUUUCUUGAUUGAUGGCUCAAACAGUGUGGAGUAGCGUGUGUUAAAUAGAGGCGGAGAAAGCGAACAGUUGGAAAUAUUGAAUGAAGGAAGAAUAAAUGCAAAUUUCAUGGCAUAUAUAUGUCUUCUCUUACUGUAUCUCUAUUCUCUCUCUUUCUCAUGCAUGUACACUUCACUUUCUC
rnacentral:lncRNA from 1 species